ACAUCUUUGUUUUGCGAGGAAGGAUGCAGUCAGCUCGCAUCAUAUUUUGUUUGACCAGUGUGUGUUUAUGAAACCUAAGGAAACGCCAAGAAUUCAAAACCGUCAUACCGUCAUACCGUCGUAGCGUCAUACCGUCAUACUGUCAUACUGUCAUAUCGUCGUAUCUAACAUCAAGCAAGGCCAUAUGUUCGUCUCCAACACAUUCAGGUGCUGUUAAAUGUACCUUUAGAAGAAUAGACUCUUUUGAAAUGAA